CCUACGGGCGGCUGCAGUGGGGAAUAUUGCACAAUGGGCGCAAGCCUGAUGCAGCCAUGCCGCGUGUGUGAAGGAGGCCUUCGGGUUGUAAAGCACUUUCAGCGGGGAGGAAGGCGGUGAGGUUAAUAACCUCAUCGAUUGACGUUACCCGCAGAAGAAGCACCGGCUAACUCCGUGCCAGCAGCCGCGGUAAUACGGAGGGUGCAAGCGUUAAUCGGAAUUACUGGGCGUAAAGCGCACGCAGGCGGUCUGUCAAGUCGGAUGUGUAAUCCCCGGGCUCAACCUGGGAACUGCAUUCGAAACUGGCAGGCUAGAGUCUUGUAGAGGGGGGUAGAAUUCCAGGUGUAGCGGUGAAAUGCGUAGAGAUCUGGAGGAAUACCGGUGGCGAAGGCGGCCCCCUGGACAAAGACUGACGCUCAGGUGCGAAAGCGUGGGGAGCAAACAGGAUUAGAUACCCUAGUAGUC
rnacentral:rRNA from 1 species